rnacentral:rRNA from 2 species
GACUAGAUAAAGGAGAAAUGGGAAAGGUGUUUGAAAUUGGAUAUUUGGUGCAGAUUCCAAAGGUAGUUAGUGGGACGGAAAGACCCCGAGAGCUUUAUAUUAGGAUAUUUAUUUGGGGCAGAGGUAAAUUUUUUAUUUAUUUUUUGAUCCUUGUUGGGGUAGAAGGUAUAAGUUACCUCGGGGAUAACUAGGUAAGAGAUAAGGAGAGGUCAGAUCGAUUUAUUUAUUUGCCAUCUCGAUGUUGAUUUAAAGUAAUAUGAGGGCGCAGAAGUUCUUGUAUAUGGUCUGUUCGACCAUAGUGCUUUUCAUGAGCU